rnacentral:rRNA from 1 species
AAUUGGAGGGCAAGUCUGGUGCCAGCAGCCGCGGUAAUUCCAGCUCCAAUAGCGUAUAUUAAAGUUGUUGCAGUUAAAAAGCUCGUAGUUGAAUUUCGGGAUUGACACAUCGGUCGUGCCUUAAGGGGUAUGAACUGGUGUAGUCAAUUUCUCACCUUCUGGAGAACCGCGAUGCCCUUAAUUGGGUGUCACGGGGAACCAGGACCUUUACUUUGAAAAAAUUAGAGUGUUUAAAGCAGGCAUUUUGCUUGAAUACAUUAGCAUGGAAUAAUAAAAUAGGACGGCAUGAUUCUAUUUUGUUGGUUUCUAGGAUCACCGUAAUGAUUAAUAGGGAUAGUUGGGGGCAUUAGUAUUCAAUUGUCAGAGGUGAAAUUCUUGGAUUUAUUGAAGACUAACUACUGCGAAAGCAUUUGCCAAGGAUGUUUUCAUUAAUCAAGGACGAAAGUUAGGGGAUCGAAGACGAUCAGAUACCGUCGUAGUCUUAACCAUAAACUAUGCCGACUAGGAAUCAGACGAUGUUAAUUUUUUAAUGACUCGUUUGGCACCUUACGGGAAACCAAAGUGU